rnacentral:rRNA from 1 species
AACGAACGCUGGCGGCAGGCUUAACACAUGCAAGUCGAACGCAUCCUUCGGGGUGAGUGGCAGACGGGUGAGUAACGCGUGGGAACGUGCCCUUCAGUUCGGGAUAACCCAGGGAAACUUGGGCUAAUACCGGAUACGUGCGAGAGCAGAAAGAUUUAUCGCUGAAGGAUCGGCCCGUGUCUGAUUAGCUAGUUGGUGGGGUGAUGGCCCACCAAGGCGACGAUCAGUAGCUGGUCUGAGAGGAUGAUCAGCCACAUUGGGACUGAGACACGGCCCAAACUCCGACGGGAGGCAGCAGUGGGGAAUAUUGGACAAUGGGCGCAAGCCUGAUCCAGCCAUGCCGCGUGAGUGAUGAAGGCCUUAGGGUUGUAAAGCUCUUUCGUCCGGGACGAUAAUGACGGUACCGGAAGAAGAAGCCCCGGCUAACUUCGUGCCAGCAGCCGCGGUAA